rnacentral:rRNA from 1 species
AGUGAACGCUGGCGGUAGGCCUAACACAUGCAAGUCGAACGGCAGCACAGUAAGAGCUUGCUCUUACGGGUGGCGAGUGGCGGACGGGUGAGGAAUACAUCGGAAUCUACUUUUUCGUGGGGGAUAACGUAGGGAAACUUACGCUAAUACCGCAUACGACCUACGGGUGAAAGCAGGGGAUCUUCGGACCUUGCGCGAUUGAAUGAGCCGAUGUCGGAUUAGCUAGUUGGCGGGGUAAAGGCCUACCAAGGCGACGACCCGUAGCUGGUCUGAGAGGAUGAUCAGCCACACUGGAACUGAGACACGGUCCAGACUCCUACGGGAGGCAGCAGUGGGGAAUAUUGGACAAUGGGCGCAAGCCUGAUCCAGCCAUACCGCGUGGGUGAAGAAGGCCUUCGGGUUGUAAAGCCCUUUUGUUGGGAAAGAAAAGCAGCAGGUUAAUACCCCGCUGUUCUGACGGUACCCAAAGAAUAAGCACCGGCUAACUUCGUG